UACGAAGGGGGCGAGCGUUGUUCGGAUUUACUGGGCGUAAAGGGCGCGCAGGCGGCUACAUUUGUCAGGCGUGAAAGCCCGGGCCUUGAACCUGGGAACUGCGUUUGAUACGGUGUGGCUAGAGUUCGGGAGAGGAGAGUGGAAUUCCCAGUGUAGAGGUGAAAUUCGAUAGAUAUUGGGAAGAACACCGGUGGCGAAGGCGGCGACCUGGGCCAAUAUUGACGCUGAGGUGCGAAAGCGUGGGGAGCAAACAGG
rnacentral:rRNA from 1 species